rnacentral:rRNA from 1 species
UACGGAGGGGGCAAGCGUUGUUCGGAAUUACUGGGCGUAAAGGGCUCGUAGGCGGCCAACUAAGUCGGACGUGAAAUCCCCAGGCUCAACCUGGGAACUGCGUCCGAUACUGGAUGGCUUGAAUCCGGGAGAGGGAUGCAGAAUUCCAGGUGUAGCGGUGAAAUGCGUAGAUAUCUGGAGGAAUACCGGUGGCGAAGGCGGCAUCCUGGACCGGCAUUGACGCUGAGGAGCGAAAGCGAGGGGAGCAAACGGG